UGCCAGCAGCCGCGGUAAUACGGAGGAUCCAAGCGUUAUCCGGAAUCAUUGGGUUUAAAGGGUCCGCAGGCGGUCUAUUAAGUCAGGGGUGAAAUCCUAUCGCUUAACGAUAGAACUGCCUUUGAUACUGGUAGACUUGAGUUAUUGUGAAGUAAUUAGAAUGUGUAGUGUAGCGGUGAAAUGCAUAGAUAUUACACAGAAUACCGAUUGCGAAAGCAGAUUACUAACAAUUAACUGACGCUGAGGGACGAAAGCGUGGGUAGCGAACAGGAUUAGAUC
rnacentral:rRNA from 1 species